CGCUCGUCCCCUCUAGGACUCACGGCGAAGUGCCUUGUGAAAGGAUUUCCCUUAUUCCUGAGUUAUGUGGCUCCGUGUCAUGUUGUGAAGGCAACAUGUUCGACAGCGGUACCUGCCGGGGGAGGAUCCGCGGCAGCCGCAUUUCUCAUGCCAGACAGCGGAAAAAUGGGAUGUGAGACUUGGGAACGGCGGGGGGCACGGUGACUUUCAGCGACAAGGAGGAUCCCAGCCAGUUGGCAAAUGUCAGGCCGGGCCUCCUGCCUCUCCCUCGGCUCCUUGGGCCUCCGAAGUGCGGGCAGGUGGCGUUCCCCUGCCGGAAUCACCUGUGGCACCUGAAAACCGGGCAGCGGAAAACCGGACAGGUGAAAGUGCUGCACAGCCUCGGAGGGAAGGGAUCUCACCCCGUGCUCAGGGAUGGGAAUGGAUCCUCGACUUCAAUGGAUUAAAUGUCAGCUGGAGUAUUUCAUUGCUCUUAAUGCUC